rnacentral:rRNA from 1 species
CUCCUACGGGAGGCAGCAGUAAGGAAUAUUGGUCAAUGGGCGGAAGCCUGAACCAGCCAUGCCGCGUGCAGGAAGACGGCCCUAUGGGUUGUAAACUGCUUUUGCAGGGGAAUAAACCUUGAUAUGUAUACCAAGCUGAAUGUACUCUGAGAAUAAGGAUCGGCUAACUCCGUGCCAGCAACCGCGGUAAUAC